AGAAUCAACGCUGGCGGCGUGCCUAACACAUGCAAGUCGAACGAGAAAGUGGAGCAAUCCAUGAGUAAAGUGGCGCACGGGUGAGUAACACGUGACUAACCUACCUUUUAGUGGGGGAUAACCUAGGGAAACCUGGGCUAAUACCGCAUAACACUUACGAGUCAAAAGCAGCAAUGCGCUGAAAGAGGGGGUCGCGGCCGAUUAGCUAGUUGGCGGGUAAUGGCCACCAAGCAGUGAUCGGAUCC
rnacentral:rRNA from 1 species